rnacentral:pre_miRNA from 1 species
AAAAAGGCAAACCCUAGGUUUCCGUGUCCAAUUUUGACUGUCCGUCUUAUAUGAUUUUUUUUAUAAUUCGUAUUUUUAUUAUUGUUAGAUGAUAAAACAUGAUUAAUAUUUUAUGCGUGACUUGUCUUUUUAAUUUUUUUCAUAAUUUUUUCAAAUAAGACGGA